rnacentral:tRNA from 1 species
AAUAAGAUAGGAUAAAUUUAUUAAUCUAUAAGGUUCAUACCCUUAUGAUGCUUUUUUGCUCUUAUUA